rnacentral:rRNA from 1 species
AUACAGAGACUGCAAGCGUUAUUCGGAUUCACUGGGCGUAAAGGGUGCGCAGGCGGCCGUGUGUGUAAGGUGUGAAAUCCCGGGGCUCAACCCCGGAACUGCGCCUUAAACUACAUGGCUAGAGUAUUGGAGAGGGUAGUGGAAUUCACGGUGUAGCAGUGAAAUGCGUAGAUAUCGUGAGGAACACCAGAGGCGAAGGCGACUACCUGGACAAUUACUGACGCUCAGGCACGAAAGCGUGGGGAGC